UACGGGGGGCAGCAGUGGGGAAUAUUGCACAAUGGGCGCAAGCCUGAUGCAGCCAUGCCGCGUGUAUGAAGAAGGCCUUAGGGUUGUAAAGUACUUUCAGUUGGGAGGAAGGCGUUGAUGCUAAUAUCAUCAGCGAUUGACGUUACCAACAGAAGAAGCACCGGCUAACUCCGUGCCAGCAGCCGCGGUAAUACGGAGGGUGCAAGCGUUAAUCGGAAUUACUGGGCGUAAAGCGCACGCAGGCGGUUGAUUAAGUUAGAUGUGAAAUCCCCGGGCUUAACCUGGGAAUGGCAUCUAAGACUGGUCAGCUAGAGUCUUGUAGAGGGGGGUAGAAUUCCAUGUGUAGCGGUGAAAUGCGUAGAGAUGUGGAGGAAUACCGGUGGCGAAGGCGGCCCCCUGGACAAA
rnacentral:rRNA from 1 species